UUCGGAUGCUAUUUGCAACAAGACUGUACUGAUUACAUCUGCUGCAGCUUUUAAUAUAAAUGUUAUUUGCAAGAAUAUUUGUGUUUAAAUUAGUAUCACAGACAUGAGGUGACUGAUUUUCUCUGACCUGCAGGUGAUCGUUGUGUCUAUGAGACAGUCAGAAGAUGUGAAAACACUGAAAAUGGUCCAGCAGAAGGUGAUUACACCAAUGUCACAUCUGUGAUUCAGCUCAAAGUCAUUAACAAGACAAGGCAACGUGGUGACCCAGAGGAGAGCUCU